rnacentral:rRNA from 1 species
AUUGAACGCUGGCGGCAUGCCUUACACAUGCAAGUCGAACGGUAACAGGUCUUCGGAUGCUGACGAGUGGCGAACGGGUGAGUAAUACAUCGGAACGUGCCUAGUAGUGGGGGAUAACUACUCGAAAGAGUGGCUAAUACCGCAUGCGAUCUACGGAUGAAAGCAGGGGAUCGCAAGACCUUGUGCUACUAGAGCGGCCGAUGGCAGAUUAGGUAGUUGGUGGGAUAAAAGCGUACAAAGCCGACGAUCUGUAGCUGGUCUGAGAGGACGAUCAGCCACACUUGGACGGAAACACGGCGCAGACUCCUACGGGAGGCAGCAGUGGGGAAUUUUGGACAAUGGGCAAAGGCCUGAUCCAGCAAUGCCGCGUGCAGGAUGAAGGCCUUCGGGUUGUAAACUGCUUUUGUACGGAACGAAAAGCCCCGGGUUAAUACCCUGGGGUCAUGACGGUACCGUAAGAAUAAGCACCGGCUAACUUCGUGCCAGCCGCCGCCGUAA